rnacentral:rRNA from 1 species
UACGUAGGGGGCAAGCGUUGUCCGGAAUCAUUGGGCGUAAAGAGCGUGUAGGCGGCUCGAUAAGUCCGCUGUGAAAGUCCAGGGCUCAACCCUGGAAGGCCGGUGGAAACUGUCGGGCUAGAGUCCGGAAGAGGCGAGUGGAAUUCCCGGUGUAGCGGUGAAAUGCGCAGAUAUCAGGAAGAACACCCGUGGCGAAAGCGGCUCUCUGGAACGGUACUGACGCUGAGACGCGAAAGCGUGGGGAGCGAACAGG